AUUGAACGCUGGCGGCAGGCCUAACACAUGCAAGUCGAGCGGAUGAGUGGAGCUUGCUCCAUGAUUCAGCGGCGGACGGGUGAGUAAUGCCUAGGAAUCUGCCUGGUAGUGGGGAACAACGUUUCGAAAGGAACGCUAAUACCGCAUACGUCCUUCGGGAGAAAGCAGGGGACCUUCGGGCCUUGCGCUAUCAGAUGAGCCUAGGUCGGAUUAGCUAGUAGGUGAGGUAAUGGCUCACCUAGGCGACGAUCCGUAACUGGUCUGAGAGGAUGAUCAGUCACACUGGAACUGAGACACGGUCCAGACUCCUACGGGAGGCAGCAGUGGGGAAUAUUGGACAAGGGGCGCAAGCCUGAUCCAGCAAUGCCGCGUGUGUGAAGAAGGCCUUCGGGUUGUAAAGCACUUUAAGCUGGGAAGAAAAAAUCGGAACUAACAUUUCCGGUCUUGACGGUACCAGAAGAAUAAGCACCGGCUAACUCUGUGCCAGCAGCCGCCGUAAUAC
rnacentral:rRNA from 1 species